UGGACCCAAUUGUGAUAUGACCAAAGCC
rnacentral:piRNA from 1 species